UGACUUUGCAUAUGAAGAUACGGGGAAUAGACCACGGACCACAAAGUUAAGAAUGAUAGCAUAUAUUCUACUAGGAAAAAAAAAAAAAAAAAAAAGCCUUCUCACCAUAUGCAGACAAAUUCCCGGACUGGAGGGAGGGAGAAUUCAGAGAGAAAAGGCUGGCCUUUCUGGAAAAUGGCUUCCCCAAGGAGCAACCUGAAGGGGAUGGCCCUGCUCCCCUUCUAGAAACGGAUUCUAGAAGCCCCAGAGGAUCAAGGAAACACUUGGGAGGAAGGUCUGCAUGUGGAGUACAGAGGAACUUUGGGAACGAUUAGGAAACAGGCUCAAAGAGGCCCUUGAGCACUUGAUUUCCAGGCCAGGCUUCUUUCUACCAGCCCUGGUUUCAAGAAGAGAAGAAGUUAGCCUCUCGCCACAUGAAGUCCCUGAGUCAGACACAAAGAAACCAUCACUUCCAAGGAACCCGUUGAUUUAUAGUGAACCUCACGUGGGGGCUAUGCAGUGCCUGAAAAGGUGAGGAGAAACUGGAGAC